rnacentral:lncRNA from 1 species
CGCGUCUGGACUGUGCGCACGCGGAGCGCGCGGAAGCCGGGCGGGGAGGGAGGGGCGCCCGCCCGCCGGUCCCCUUCCCGGGACUGGCAGGCCCCGCCUUUCAUCUUUUCAUCGUUUGGAGCCCCUUUCCCGGAAAUCCCGAUGUCUGCUGCACACGGGUCUCUACCGGUUAGGGAUUAAGAGUGAGUCGGCAGGAGUCAAACAGAGUGAGAAGGCUUAAUUCACAGGCCCCUAGACACUGAACGUGAGAGGGUAGAAGAAAGGCUUUUUUCCUCCUCUGCUGACCUAAAGGAAAUAAUACGGAAUAUUGGAACAAGUGCUGAUCAAAGAGAAGCAUCUCUGGAAUGCCUCCUGAGCCAGGCAUCACGACAGGUGGAGCUCCCAAGACACAGUCUCUGCCCAUCAGAGUUCAUCCUGCGUGGAAGACACACGCUGACAGGCAGAGGCCAGUUCCCAGCCAGCUGUGCGGGGGCUCAGGGGCCACGGCGUGGGGAGCCCGAGAGCUGAUGGGCGUCUGAUGUACCUGCUGGACACUGGCUUUUGGCUAUAAAAUUUGCAGAAAAAAAGACAGAGAAAGCUAGAGAAAUGCUAGUCUAUCACUACCAUCUGGAGCUCGAAGCAGGAAAAAAAGACUACGUCGAUAGAGGGGAAGGAGGGAGAAGAGGUGGAAGAGAGAAAGAGAGAGAAACACAGGCAGACAGACAUCAACUUGAAUCAGAAAGCAAAUAGACCCGUGCUCCCCAGGGGCCUCACCAAAAGCAGAAAGAAGAUAUAUUAAUAGACAGAGCUGAGUUGAUGACAUCGACAAUGAAAACAGUAUUGCAAAGAGCCUGAAAGUAAUCUAGUUGCAGAGUCAUCUAUCAAAACGGCUCCCUGCUUGCAUGUACAUGGAUGAAGGCUGCAGCACUGCCUGAAAUGGCAUAAGCCCUGCCACUCCUCAGAAGUCCAUCACAGGAGGGAGGGAAAGAGGACAUGUGGAGGUGUGUCCGUCUGCGCACUGGGAGAAUCUUGUAGGGGACGCACGACGAGAAGCUGGUUAUCCUAAGGGAGCCUUGUCGCUGGAGUGGGCUUUUUCAUUUUGUACCAUAAGCUGAGCCACAUGUGAAAAAAAUAAAUUAAAAUGUUAAAAGGCUUUGUUAGGUCCACAAACCACAACUACUGGUCAAGAAAGGACAGGAACCUGACGGGAUGGUUUCACUUUUCUCCCAGCGGCCUUCUCAUACCUGGGUAUCUGUUUUAUUCAACCCCCAACAGGGCCUCCCAAACCAUCGGUGCUGAAAGACCAGCUUUGUUUUGCUUUUUAUUUCCCCAAUGCCUUGCAGACCGAUACUUUAAUAGAAUCAAUAAAAAUGGAUUACUGGAAAAAUGAAAUUAAAGAACAACAAAGACAUAUCAAAUUCAAGGUCCAAUAUUUUUAUUAUUAGAUCGAACAGACAUUAAAUUCCUCUGUCUGUCAAAUUGCUUUUAAA